GACGAACGCUGGCGGCGUGCUUAACACAUGCAAGUCGAACGGAAAGGCCUCUUUCGGGGGGUACUCGCGUGGCGAACGGGUGAGUAACACGCGAGUAAACUGCCCUUGUAUUUGGGAUAACUUCCGGAAACUGGGGCUAAUACCGGAUAGGAGCUCUUGCUGCCCGGAGGGGGUUGGAGAGUUUCGGGGGUUGGGGGUGGGCUCGCGGCUUAUCCGCUUGUUGGUGGGGUAGUGGCUUACCAAGGCUUUGCCGGGUAGCCGGACAGUGAGGGUGACCGGCCACAUUGGGACCUAGGUACGGCCCAGACACCUACUGGUGGGAGCAGUGGGGAAUAUUGCACAAGGGGUGGAAGCCGGGUGCAGCAACGCCUGGGGCGGGAUGACGGCCUUCGGGGUGAAAACCGAAUUUGCUCAUGACGAAGCAUUGUGUGACGGUAGUGGGUAAAGAAGCACCGGCUAACUACGUG
rnacentral:rRNA from 1 species